CAGCCCUUAAAAUGUGGCUGCCAUUCCAUCAGUGCGUUACUGAGGACCUCAGGUUGGCCUUACUGCCCAGGAAUUACUGGGAGAAGCAGGACAGGUCUUUCUGCUGAGAUGAAUCAGCCUUACAAAAGCUGGCUGCCUUUGCAAGAGUCCCGGGCAGCUGCCACCAGCUCCAGGAGGCGCCCUGAGCUUGCUCCAAGCAGAAUUAGUGAUGGAAGAGCUUUGUGCUUAGUCGUUCCAGAUGCUCUACCAGCCAACCCAAGGAACUGGGAUGCAAGCUAGAGAGAGCUCAGCUGCAUGGCCGUGGAAUGCUGAGAUGCCAAGCCGUGCUCUCUCACUCUCAAAGCUCUCGUGUCCUUGUGGCAUUCAGCACACAGAGAGCAUCUCGACAACAGUCACUUUUCAUCAUCAUUUUCCAUUUUUCUUGAAAGGAUAACUGCAUAUUUUUGGAGAGCAUGGCCACAUACCUGAAUCUAUUCAGAGUCAAAUGGAACUGAGGAGAUCGUUAUUAAAACACAGAAAGCGCAGGAAUAAAAUUAACCGUAGCACCAGUUCUCUGUGUGCUGAAUACAC
rnacentral:lncRNA from 1 species